rnacentral:rRNA from 1 species
UACGUAGGGUGCAAGCGUUGUCCGGAAUUAUUGGGCGUAAAGAGCUCGUAGGCGGUCUGUCACGUCUGCUGUGAAAACUCGGGGCUUAACCCCGGGCCUGCAGUGGGUACGGGCAGACUAGAGUGCGGUAGGGGAGACUGGAAUUCCUGGUGUAGCGGUGAAAUGCGCAGAUAUCAGGAGGAACACCGGUGGCGAAGGCGGGUCUCUGGGCCGUAACUGACGCUGAGGAGCGAAAGCGUGGGGGAGCGAACAGG